rnacentral:rRNA from 1 species
UACGGGGGGGGCAAGCGUUGUUCGGAAUUACUGGGCGUAAAGGGCUCGUAGGCGGCCAACUAAGUCAGACGUGAAAUCCCUCGGCUUAACCGGGGAACUGCGUCUGAUACUGGAUGGCUUGAGUUUGGGAGAGGAUGGUGGAAUUCCCAGUGUAGAGGUGAAAUUCGUAGAUAUUGGGAAGAACACCGGUGGCGAAGGCGGCCAUCUGGACCGCAACUGACGCUGAGGCGCGAAAGCGUGGGGAGCAAACAGG